rnacentral:rRNA from 1 species
CAAGUCGAGCGAACGGACGAGAAGCUUGCUUCUCUGGAUGUUAGCGGCGGACGGGUGAGUAACACGUGGAUAACCUACCUAUAAGACUGGGAUAACUUCGGGAAACCGGAGCUAAUACCGGAUAAUAUUUUGAACCGCAUGGUUCAAAAGUGAAAGACGGUCUUGCUGUCACUUAUAGAUGGAUCCGCGCUGCAUUAGCUAGUUGGUAAGGUAACGGCUUACCAAGGCAACGAUGCAUAGCCGACCUGAGAGGGUGAUCGGCCACACUGGAACUGAGACACGGUCCAGACUCCUACGGGAGGCAGCAGUAGGGAAUCUUCCGCAAUGGGCGAAAGCCUGACGGAGCAACGCCGCGUGAGUGAUGAAGGUCUUCGGAUCGUAAAACUCUGUUAUUAGGGAAGAACAUAUGUGUAAGUAACUGUGCACAUCUUGACGGUACCUAAUCAGAAAGCCACGGCUAACUACGUGCCAGCAGCCGCGGUAAUACGUAGGUGGCAAGCGUUAUCCGGAAUUAUUGGGCGUAAAGCGCGCGUAGGCGGUUUUUUAAGUCUGAUGUGAAAGCCCACGGCUCAACCGUGGAGGGUCAUUGGAAACUGGAAAACUUGAGUGCAGAAGAGGAAAGUGGAAUUCCAUGUGUAGCGGUGAAAUGCGCAGAGAUAUGGAGGAACACCAGUGGCGAAGGCGACUUUCUGGUCUGUAACUGACGCUGAUGUGCGAAAG